UAUCACAGACACAAUUAUCUGA
rnacentral:miRNA from 1 species